CAAAAUAAAGCUUAAAGUGAAGCAUCUCAUUUACACUGAGAGGAUGUUCGUGCGAUUCGAAUUAUUUUGA
rnacentral:tRNA from 4 species